rnacentral:lncRNA from 1 species
UAGGUAUAUAACUGUAGUACGGUUGUUUGUAUGUGGUCUUGAUGACUUAGGAAAAGCACACAUAGCCAGAGGUGUUUGAAUGGUUCCAGAUACCAGAGUACACAUGUUGCAUCUACAUCCUUGGACUAUGUACCUUUCGGGGUCUAUAUAUUCCUAGUUUUGAAGGCUAGGGUUAUUCUACCACAUGGAGUUAUGAGGAUAACCUGGGAUAAUAUGUUCAUGAACAUUGUGAAAUAACUCAACUGUGAAACACAAAUAAUUGCAUUAGGAACUCUAAUAAAGUAUUUAAAGUAAAAGGAAGAGAAGUAAGAAGGAGGGAGAGAACCCUGUGAACUAAAGAAGUAAGUGAUGGAGAGACCAGGGACUUUGGAUGAAUCAGGCUCAUAGGUGCAGCUUUGAUAUGGAAGUCUAAGUUUUUCUUUAAAAACUUAGAGUUUUUAAAGAAUGAGUUUCAGCCCAUGUGUAUGGCUAUAUAAAAUGUACUAGAUAUUUUGUUUUUUUUUUCAUAUUGCAAUAGCAGAUUUUUAUAGGUUGGACAGUGACAUUCAUCUUAUUCUUGACAUUAUUUAUAAAAAGAUUAUGCAUGCACACACAGUGCUUUGUAAACUGUAAACAUGCAUUACAAUUGUAUGGAUUAUCGCUAUUACUGUCAAAUGAUGCGUGUGGGAGUUUCAGUUGUUAAGUGAAGCUUGCAUUCAUUGGAGAAGGUGGGGGCCCUGUAUCUCUCCUGUGUUAGGUGGUUCUGAGAAGCUAUUGUUCCAGUCUUUUAAGUACCUUGAUGUUCUGUAAGAGUCCUUUGUUUUUUUAUAUGUAAGGUUAGGAUCAGGGGUGGGGAAAACAGAAAGAAAAGAAAUAAUUUGUUUAGUUGCACAGUUGAUACCCUGUGGUAAACAUUUGAAGGGAUUUUUAUAUUUGCUUUUUUCAAUCUUAACUCUUUAGUGGUUUUCACAUGUAUUUUUGUAUUUUUAUUGCUGUUAUCAUUAACCACUUGUUUUAUCUUCCUCUUCUCUUUAUUUCCAUUUAUCCUCCAUUCUAGUCAGUUCUCUGUUCCAUCAUUAUGCCAGAUGACCUCGGAAAGUAGCCCUAAAUGGACAUGUACACAUAAUAUGUGAAUAGAAGUUUUUUCUGAUAUUUCCUUUGUACACAAAGUUUUCUUCAAAGCAAUAACUAAAGCUUUUUGCCCUUUUCAAACCCUCCAGUCGUCAGGAGGUUAUUUUCAGUGAAGUGGCGAGAAAGGAGAGUUCAAAUAGGAUUGAUUUAAUAGAGCUAUGAUGUGAAAAAUCUCACAACACGCUGUCUGCCUGAAAUGGCCAAUCAUGGAAGCAUUAAAAUCAGACUGGGAAAGGAAGCUAGGGCAUCCCAGAUAGGCACCCAAUGAAAGGAUGACAGCAGCUUCCUAUCCCUCUGCAGAGAAAUAAUAAAAGUAUUAUAGGACAAGAAAUAGCCAAAGACACAUGUGAAGGAAUCAUCAUCUGUGAGCCACCAAGAGCCUCAGCCAUAAAUUUAAUGCAAGAAAAUAUCUUCACUCUUUUCCUCCAACCAAUGACCCAGGAAAUUAAAAGAAAUCCUUCAUAUUUAUUUUGUUUUCUCUCUACUUUCUCCACAAGAUCUAUUUUAUCUCUAUUACCUGUAUUUUAUUCCCAUCCUUAUAAAACUGUACUCUCUUUAAUAUUUUAAUUUGGUUUCUUUCUUUUGUGAUCUUAACUUCUCUCAAAGAAUGUUGUUUUAUACUCUUAAAGCUGCUUAUCAGGGCAUAGAAAAUAAGAAAGUGUCCUAAUAUUUAUAGGAGAUUGGCUCCAGGACCCCCACCCCCAUAACAAAAUCCACAAAUGCUCAAGUACCUUAUAAAAAAAGGCACAGUAUUUGCAAAUAAUCUAUGCACAUCUUUCCAUGUAUUUUAAUAUAAUGAUCUUGAGAUUACUUAUAAUACCAAAACAACGUAAAUGCUAACGGUUGCCAUCAUGCAGCAAAUUCAAGUUUUGCUUUUUGAAACUUUUUAAAAUUAAAAAGGUUUUUCUUUUUUUUUUUUUUUUUUUUUUGUCUUUUGUCUUUUUGUUGUUGUUGUUGCUAUUUCUUGGGCUGCUCCCACGGCAUAUGGAGGUUCCCAGGCUAGGGGUCGAAUCGGAGCUGUAGCCACCGGCCUAUGCCAGAGCCACAGCAACUCGGGAUCCGAACCGCGUCUGCAACCUACACCACAGCUCACGGCAACACCGGAUCGUUAACCCACUGAGCAAGGGCAGGGACCGAACCCGCAACCUCAUGGUUCCUAGUCGGAUUCGUUAACCACUGCGCCACGACGGGAACUCCAAGGUUUUUAUUUUUUGAUCUCUGGCUGGUUGGCUGAAUGCAAGAAUGCACAACCUCUAGGUACAAAGGGCUGACCUGCACUUCCUACCAAGUAUGGAAAUAACAGCAGCUGGCAUAUGGGUUAGCAGAUGACUGAAGGACAAUGUGAAAUACCUAAAUGCUAGAAUUGUGGGAAUAGGCAUUACUGAAUCUUUUGGUGGUUGCCUCUGUACCAAGAUCACUUGCCCCAAUAAGGCAAAGCUAGAAAUUUGGUUAUCAGUGACAUGACAGGUAUUCACAAAAUGUGCAGGAAUUUGCUUUGCAAAUGAGAAUUCCAGUUUAAGCUAUAGCCUUAUUAAAAAUUUAUGUAUGAAUGAAUGUAUUACACAAGUAGAGGAAAUGACUUUAAGUAUAAAGAAGAAAAUAAACAUGCAUAAUCCCAUCUCUUGAAGAGAACUAAAGUUUCUUUUUUUUUUUUUUGGACUUUUUGCCAUUUCUUGGGCCGUUCCCACGGCAUAUGGAGGUUCCCAGGUUAGGGGUCAAAUCGGAGCUGAAGCCACUGGCCUAUGCCAGAGCCACGGCAACUCGGGAUCUGAACUGCAUCUGCAACCUACACCACAGCUCAUGGCAAUGCCGGAUCUUUAUCCCACUGAGCAAGGCCAAGGAUCAAACCCGCAACCUCAUAGUUCCUAGUCGGAUUCAUUAACCACUGAGCCACGACGGGAACUCCGAGAACUAAAGGUUUUCUUAUGUUUAGCUUUAAUAAGUAUAUCUUCAUUAAAAAUAAGGUGAUUGUGAGUUCCCAUUGUGGCUCAGCAGAAUCGAAUCUGACUAUUAUCCAUGAGGAUACAGGUUCGAUCCCUCGUUAUGUUCAGUGGGCUAAGGAUCCGGCGUUGCUGAGAGCUGUGGUGUAGGUCGCAGAUGUGGCUCAAAUCCAGCAUUGCUAUGGCUGUGGCGUAGGCUGGUGGCUGGCUACAGCUCCGAUUCAAACCCUAGCCUGGGAAUCUCCAUAUGCAACAGGUCAGCCCUAAAAAG